rnacentral:rRNA from 1 species
GACGAACGCUGGCGGCGUGCCUAAUACAUGCAAGUAGAACGCUGAAGGAGGAGCUUGCUUCUCUGGAUGAGUUGCGAACGGGUGAGUAACGCGUAGGUAACCUGCCUGGUAGCGGGGGAUAACUAUUGGAAACGAUAGCUAAUACCGCAUAAGAGUAGAUGUUGCAUGACAUUUGCUUAAAAGGUGCAAUUGCAUCACUACCAGAUGGACCUGCGCUGUAUUAGCUAGUUGGUGAGGUAACGGCUCACCAAGGCGACGAUACAUAGCCGACCUGAGAGGGUGAUCGGCCACACUGGGACUGAGACACGGCCCAGACUCCUACGGGAGGCAGCAGUAGGGAAUCUUCGGCAAUGGACGGAAGUCUGACCGAGCAACGCCGCGUGAGUGAAGAAGGUUUUCGGAUCGUAAAGCUCUGUUGUAAGAGAAGAACGAGUGUGAGAGUGAAAGUUCACACUGUGACGGUAU